rnacentral:rRNA from 1 species
AGUGAACGCUGGCGGUAGGCCUAACACAUGCAAGUCGAACGGCAGCACAGUAAGAGCUUGCUCUUACGGGUGGCGAGUGGCGGACGGGUGAGGAAUACAUCGGAAUCUACUUUUUCGUGGGGGAUAACGUAGGGAAACUUACGCUAAUACCGCAUACGACCUACGGGUGAAAGCAGGGGAUAUUCGGACCUUGCGCGAUUGAAUGAGCCGAUGUCGGAUUAGCUAGUUGGCGGGGUAAAGGCCCACCAAGGCGACGAUCUGUAGCUGGUCUGAGAGGAUGAUCAGCCACACUGGAACUGAGACACGGUCCAGACUCCUACGGGAGGCAGCAGUGGGGAAUAUUGGACAAUGGGCGCAAGCCUGAUCCAGCCAUACCGCGUGGGUGAAGAAGGCCUUCGGGUUGUAAAGCCCUUUUGUUGGGAAAGAAAAGCAGCAGGUUAAUACCCCGCUGUUCUGACGGUACCCAAAGAAUAAGCACCGGCUAACUUCGUG